AGAUGGUCUGGGUUUGAAACUUAGCACUGCCAUUUAUUAAACCUGUGAUCCAUGGCCAGGCACCUAAUAUCUCUGGUCCAGUUUCCCAGCCUAUAUGAUGGGAAGAGUUCAUGGUAUCUCCCCAGGGGAGUUAUUGAAGAACAGAGCCAUGGUUCAUAUUUGGCCUAGAGGCAUUCAGUGAAUGGAGUUUCUUUUUUUUUCUCUUGCCAAAAUCACCCAAAGGAGAGGCAGAGCCAGCCUGGGCAUCUGACCCUUGCUGGAGCUGGGGUGAGCAGGGGCCUUGAGCUCUGGG
rnacentral:lncRNA from 10 species